rnacentral:rRNA from 1 species
UACGUAGGGUGCGAGCGUUGUCCGGAAUUAUUGGGCGUAAAGAGCUCGUAGGCGGUCUGUCGCGUCGGUCGUGAAAACUUGGGGCUUAACCCUGAGCUUGCGGUCGAUACGGGCAUGACUGGAGUUCGGUAGGGGAGACUGGAAUUCCUGGUGUAGCGGUGAAAUGCGCAGAUAUCAGGAGGAACACCAAUAGCGAAGGCAGCUCGCUGGGACGGUACUGACGCUAAGGCGCGAAAGCGUGGGGAGCGAACAGG